GUGUGUAUAGUUUAAUUAAAAUCUCAGGUUGUGAUCCUGAUAAUGAGGACUAAACCCCUCUACUCACC
rnacentral:tRNA from 1 species